AUGCGAUUCCUCAUCAUCUGGAUUAUGUACGGAACAUGCUUGACAGAUCCAAGUUAUGGAGAUUCUGUCACACAGACGCUGUCUACAGCAAGGAAGACAGAAGGAGAGGCCGUGACAUUCUGCUGCACCUAUGAUACUACAGCGGGCUACUACCGUUUGUACUGGUACCGGCAACGACCAGACCUGAUGCCCGAAUUCAUAGUGCGGAAAUAUUCAGAAGGUGCUGAGGUGAAAGAAGAUUUUGCUAAAGAUCGUUUCUCUUUCGGGAUCCAGACUUCAAGCAAAGUCGCCAGUUUGACGAUUUCGCGGCUUCGACAAAACGACUCUGCAGAGUAUUACUGUGCCAUUCCGCAGCACAGUGAUGGAAACGACUGA